UUUUCAAGUGUGAUAAUUGUUCCCAGUGAAAGCCGUGUAGAGACCCAUAAGCUUUUGAAAACACUUCUAAGUAUUGUCUAAUUAGCAAGCAAAAAAUGAGUCACAAAAUAUUCAGACUCAAGGGAAGAAAAAGAUUGUCAUAAGUGUCUCAAAAUCGGUUUUGGUGAAUUUAAUGCGAUUCAUCAAUUAAUGACAAAGCUCAUAGAAUAUCAUGUAUUCUACUAUUUUCUACCUCCUCGAUCUAAUUAGAAAACCAAAAAAUCACAGAAAUGGAUCAACAGGAAGAAAAAUCAUCAAGGAGGGUCAUAGCCAGAGAAUAAGCAUACCAAGUAGAUUUAGUAGACAUUUUGCGGAUAUCCCAAAGCUUGAUGGCUUGAUCUUUACCAUUAGAAAUGAAAUAACGACCAUCCCCCCGAUUGUCGAGGAAAGUAAUGCCUUCUAGGUGUCCCAUUAGGACUCUUGCUGGCUUUUCUUUGGCCCUGAAGCCUGUCAAGGAACGUAAUGCCUUCUAGGUGUCCCAUCAGGACUCCCACUGGCUUUUCUUUGGCCCUGAAGCAACGUCUGUCCCAGACCUAUACAGAGCAACAAGCUCAUUACUCCUAAAAAUAAAACAAAAAAUCUU
rnacentral:lncRNA from 1 species